rnacentral:rRNA from 1 species
AGUGAACGCUGGCGGCAGGCUUAACACAUGCAAGUCGAGCGGAGAUGAGGUGCUUGCACCUUAUCUUAGCGGCGGACGGGUGAGUAAUGCUUAGGAAUCUGCCUAUUAGUUGGGGACAACAUUCCGAAAGGAAUGCUAAUACCGCAUACGUCCUACGGGAGAAAGCAGGGGAUCUUCGGACCUUGCGCUAAUAGAUGAGCCGAAGUCGGAUUAGCGCGUUGGUGGGGUAAAGGCCUACCAAGGCGACGGUCUGUAGCGGGUCUGAGAGGAUGAUCCGCCACACUGGGACUGAGACACGGACCAGACUCCUACGGGAGGCAGCAGUGGGGAAUAUUGGACAAUGGGGGGAACCCUGAUCCAGCCAUGCCGCGUGUGUGAAGAAGGCCUUAUGGUUGUAAAGCACUUUAAGCGAGGAGGAGGCUACUGAGACUAAUACUCUUGGAUAGUGGACGUUACUCGCAGAAUAAGCACCGGCUAACUCUGUGCCAGCCGCCGCCGUAAAAC